rnacentral:rRNA from 1 species
UACAUGGGGUGCAAACGUUGUUCGGAAUUAUUGGGCGUAAAGCGCGCGUAGGCGGUUACUCAAGUCGGAUGUGAAAGCCCUCGGCUUAACCGAGGAAGUGCACCCGAAACUGAGCAGCUAGAGUACGAAAGAGGGUCGCGGAAUUCCCGGUGUAGAGGUGAAAUUCGUAGAUAUCGGGAGGAACACCGGUGGCGAAGGCGGGAUCCUGGACCAACACUGACACUGAGGCGCGAAAGCCAGGGGAGCAAACGGG